rnacentral:rRNA from 1 species
GACGGAGGGUGCAAGCGUUGUUCGGAUUGACUGGGCGUAAAGGGCGUGUAGGCGGUCGGCCAAGUCUGAUGUGAAAGCCCGAGGCUCAGCCUUGGAAGUGCGUCGGAAACUAGUCGGCUGGAGCGCGAUAGAGGAGGGUGGAAUUCCUGGUGUAGCGGUGAAAUGCGUAGAUAUCAGGAGGAACACCGGCGGCGAAGGCGGCCCUCUGGAUCGUUGCUGACGCUGAGACGCGAAAGCGUGGGGAGCAAACAGG